UGUAAGUAGUUUAGUACACACUACCCUUCUUAACUUCUUACUGGACACUUGUGAUUGUCUUGCUUCAGUUAUUUCAUUUUUUGUUAUUUCUACAUCUAUGUGGUGGUUCAAGGUGAACGAGGGUGUUGGCAAAAAUGGUUUCUCUUGCCGUAUCUUAUCACCUAUCUAAAUUUGUUGAAUUACAUACAAAACACUAUUGUUACAGGUGAAGGUCAUGAAGGACAGUGCUUUGCCUGUAUCAUCUCCUCCUCCAGCUUCUCUGAGGUCCAUAAUGAAGAUCCAAGAGCAACCACCUGCUUCUGCAACAUCUCCAGCCCCAGCAUCUGAGAAACAAGUUACCAACUCAAAUGCUACUGAAAAUGGGAAUAACCAAGAGGGUAGGGCUUGUUCGGUUCUUGUGCUUCAGUAAUUUCUGAUGAUAUCUUUACUUUGUGCGAAAGUAGGUGCUGGCAUUGUUAUGUUUGAUCAAUUCAUGUUCAUAUGUUUGUUUAUGAACAGCUGAGGGUCCAUCUAUUUACCUAAAAGGACUGCCUCCAUCUGCUACUCAUGCUCUACUUGAGAAUGAGUUCAGGAAGUUUGGAACUAUAAGGGCUGGUGGUAUUCAAGUUAAAACCCAGAAGGUACAUUCAAGUUCAUUAUCCAUUGGAGUAUUGCUAAUUUUAUUUGCGACAAAUAAUUAUUCUUUCAUAUUUUGUGUGACAGGGAUUUUGUUUUGGCUUCGUGGAAUUUGAAGAGGAAAAUGCUGUGCAAAGUGCAAUUGAGGUAUGCAUAAGAUUUUGCUGCCAUGACCUUUUUUUUGUUUUUUCCCCCCCGGUGUCUUAUUACGUCGACUUUUUGCAUGUAAUGUGUAAGAAACAAGAAGCAUUUGUUAACUUACAUGCAGAUGGAGGCAUGAAGUGAAAUUUGAGGUUAUUUCUGUCAUGUGAUUAAUGCUUCUGUUACAUGUUGAGAGACUUUGUGGGGAUGCACUAUCUUUGUUAAUUUGCAUGCACUCAUUCGUUUAUUCUCUGGGAUUGUAUUUGUUGUUGAGAUCUUCGUUUAUUUAUUAAUUUCAGUUUGUGAUUUCUUUUCCUAUACCACGUAUAUGCAAAAUGUUAGACAAGAAUGAGGUAAUCGUUGAUUGAAAGAUGCAUGAAUAUGUUGUAAUCAUACAUGGUAUUUUUCAUCUCUUCAUUUAUGAUGGUGGUACAAUGUUGAAUGUUUUUAAAGUUUCUUCUGAAGAUGAGUUAUAUAUUAUCCUUAUUUGACAUGGUUUAAACAACCUUCAGUGCCAAAUUUUUUUAUGGCAAGGGAAUACUGGUGCAAUGGGGCUGCUUUGGCAUCACUUUAGUUUGUAGCUAGAUUCUCACCCUUUCUGAUGAGGGGAAGUCCAUUAAACAUCCUUGCAUUAGAUUUUUUUUCCCCCAAAUAUAUUUUAGCUUUUAAUAUAUAGUGUUGUCUGUAUUUAUGUUUCAGGCUUCGCCUAUUGUGAUUAGUGGGCACCGUGUAGUUGUUGAACCAAAGAAAUCUACUCGAGGCAAGUUGACUUUUAUGCUUAGAUUACUGGAUUCAUUUUUCUUGUUUUAUAAGUUUUGAAAGUGGUUGCUUUCUAUUGACAGGGGGCAAUAGGGGACGAUUUUCAUCCAGAGCUGGUAAUGGAUACAGGAAUGAGGGGACAAGAGGGCGUGGGAACUAUGGGGGUGGCAGAGGUUACGGCCGGGGUGAUUUUGGUAACAGGUCUGAGUUUGAAAAUAGAGGUGGCAUUAGGGGAGGAUUUUCAAACCGUGGAGGUGAUGGAUAUCAGAGGAAUGACAAUGGUGGUCGUGUAAACCGUGCUGGUAGGCUGGCUGUCAAUGUGACGGCUAAAAAUGUGGCACCACGUGUGUCUGCUCCUGCUUGAGGAAACCGUCCUUUUUUUUUUUUCUAUCUUAUUUACUUAUAUGUCCUAUUUUAUAUAAUAUUUUAAGUUAUUAUUAUUAUUAUUUUUGUUAUUUUUUAAUUUCAUUUUUUAAUUUUUGAAUAUUAUACUAAUAUUUUAAAUAAAAAUAUUCAACAAAAAAAUUAAUAAUAAAAAUAAAAAGCCAAUAACAUUAAUUACUAGAUUACAUAUUACAAAAUUAAAAAAGCUACUACUACUAGCAUAAAUUAGAACAAUUAUUUAGUAAUGUGGGAGAUCAUUAUUAGAUCCUCCAAUAUCAUCAAAAUAUUGGCCAAUAUUAUUGGAAGUAUUUUGAGAUGUUUGGCCUUGCUGAGAUCUUCUCUGCAAAAUCUUAAUUUGUUCAUUUUGAAAAUAUUGACGUAAGCUUGGAUCACUUAUCGAAUUUAAAUCUUUAAGUAAAAUACUAGAUUUCAAGAAUUUCUUGCUUGACACAAACAAAUCAAGGAUAAAGAGGCUCACAUUGCACUCCGAAAUGCACUAAUUGAUCAUUUAUGGGAUGAAUUUAGUAAUUCGAAUAACUAGAGUAUUAUUGUUAUUGUAUUGUAUUUUUCUAUAUUAUUGUUGUUAUUUAUUGUUAUUGUAUUUUUCUAUAUUAAUGUAAUGUUUAAUUUUCAUAAUGUACUAAUUUAGUUAAUUAAAUGCAAGUUUAAUAAUUUUCUAUAUUUUUUUGUUAAUCGAUAUAAAAUUACUUAUUACUUAAUUAUCUAUAUUAAUAGUAAUUUUUUUUUUGUGUCAAUUGAAUUAAUUCUUGAGAAUUAAAGGAAUAAAAAGAACAAUAUUCUUUUUGGUGUAAAUGAAUUGGAGAUGAAAUAGUAAUUUAGUGUGAAAAAAUUAUAUUUUUAGUGUUGGUGUUACACCAAAAUGGUGUUAUGCAUUGGAGAUGGACUUAGAGGUUUUUCAACUUUAAAAUGUUAAAAUAAUUAAAUAAACAUGUGUUCUUUAAUUAAAAAAGUUCGGGAUAGCAUUCCUUUUUAAAUAAUUGAGUCAAAAGUGAAGUAGAGGCUGUACAGAAUAAUAUAAACGGCGCCGUGGCACAAAAAGCUCCCUUCGUAUUCACGCUAAGAUUAAAACCCUCUCCCGUCUUCCCCGUACGCGCACACUCUCCGACUCCCUCAUUCUCGCGCCCCUUCAAGAUCUAGACGCCAACAACAAACCCUAAAACUCACACUCAACGGGGGUGAGCGAGUGAGAGAGAGAGAUAUAUAUAUACAUAUUGCAUCAACACAACUGCAACAAAAUAAAAGAAACGAAAUUACUAUUCUCUCCUCACUUUCUCCGAUCCGAAUCUUCAGCUCAGGUGCCUUCAUCUCUUCUUCACUCAUUUCCUCAAUAUACUUAUAUACAUCUCGCCCUUUUUUUUCCUUUAUAUUUUGUUGAAAGAAUUUUGUUACGUUUUUUGCUGAGAAAAUGAGGUUAUACGCAGAAAAAAAAAAGUUGGCCAUUUUGAUAGAUCCUAUAAGUCUCUGCUUGUUUCCCUCGAAAGUUGUUGAAAUUUUUCUUUUAUUUUCUUCUAAUUUAGUGCUGUUGUUGAUUUUUUGUGUGGUUGAUUAUUUAGGGUUUUUGUUUGCGUUUGGAAGAUUUAAGAGCAAGUGGUAGUGAUGGCAACACCGCUGCACCAAGCUCCAACUGCUGAUAUUGUAUGAAACCUUUUUUUCUUUGUUUUUUUUUCGUUGAUCUUUUUUCUGUUUCGAUUUGGGCUUUACAUCUUUGAUUGGGGUUUGAGGAAUUUCUUGGUUUAAAUUUUUGUAGGUUGGUAAUGCAUUUGUUCAUCAGUACUACCUUAUAUUGCACCAAUCGCCCCAGCUCGUUCACCGAUUUUAUCAGGAUAUUAGUAAACUUGGUCGCCCUGAAGAAAAUGGGGCUAUGAGUAUUACCACAACUAUGCAAGUGAGCGUCUCUUUCUCUCUUUUCAUUGGUUUUACAUGUAUGUGUAUGUGGUGUGCAUUUGUGUGUUUAUAUCUAUUGUUUCUUCUCUUAGCGACGCCUACGGUAUAGCUAGUUUGUGGUAACACAAUGUUUCAAAAUAAUGGAAUGAUUUUGUUUAAAUAGAGGGCUAGGUGAACUGAUUAGGAAAUUUAUUGUACCAUUUGCGGCUGAGAAUCUCUUAUGAAGUAGCAUAUGCAUGAGUUGAGUGUGGAAUUAGUUUGCACUUCUGAUUAGGAGAGUUGUUGAUUUUCUCAUUUCUGGUUGACACUUGGGCGCAGGCUAUCAAUGACAAGAUACUUGCACUUCAUUACGGAGAGUUCAGUGCUGAGAUCACCACUGUAGAUGCACAAGAAUCAUACAAUGGGGGUGUCAUUGUUCUCGUGACUGGUUAUUUGACUGGAAAGGACAGUGUGAGGCGGAAAUUUUCGCAGAGUUUCUUCCUGGCACCUCAAGACAAAGGCUACUUUGUCUUGAAUGAUGUCUUUAGGUAUGUAGAUGAUGCCUACCAUGUCGGGAGCCAGGCUACCACGAAUGAUGUUGAAGCCCCUAUUACUCCUGACCAAGGUAAUUAAAAAAAUCCAGAAUAUUUUCUAAAUUAAAGCAUUUUCUUUUCUCAAAUUAGAUGUUUAAGACGUUGUUUCUUUCUGCAGACCAUUCUCCUGUGCAGGAGAACCAUGUUUCUGAUCAAACAGCUAUUUCAUCAGAGGAAGUCAGCGGGGAAGAAGUGGACAAUCCCUCAGAGAAUGGAGAUGGUACUAUCGAAGAAGAGGAAGCACCAGUACCUGAGGUCGUUGAUGCAAUUCCAGAUGAUACGCAUGUGGCUGCCGAAUCCGACUCUAAAGUGGAAGAAGUGCCAAAGAAGUCAUAUGCUUCGAUUGUAAGUAGUUUAGUACACACUACCCUUCUUAACUUCUUACUGGACACUUGUGAUUGUCUUGCUUCAGUUAUUUCAUUUUUUGUUAUUUCUACAUCUAUGUGGUGGUUCAAGGUGAACGAGGGUGUUGGCAAAAAUGGUUUCUCUUGCCGUAUCUUAUCACCUAUCUAAAUUUGUUGAAUUACAUACAAAACACUAUUGUUACAGGUGAAGGUCAUGAAGGACAGUGCUUUGCCUGUAUCAUCUCCUCCUCCAGCUUCUCUGAGGUCCAUAAUGAAGAUCCAAGAGCAACCACCUGCUUCUGCAACAUCUCCAGCCCCAGCAUCUGAGAAACAAGUUACCAACUCAAAUGCUACUGAAAAUGGGAAUAACCAAGAGGGUAGGGCUUGUUCGGUUCUUGUGCUUCAGUAAUUUCUGAUGAUAUCUUUACUUUGUGCGAAAGUAGGUGCUGGCAUUGUUAUGUUUGAUCAAUUCAUGUUCAUAUGUUUGUUUAUGAACAGCUGAGGGUCCAUCUAUUUACCUAAAAGGACUGCCUCCAUCUGCUACUCAUGCUCUACUUGAGAAUGAGUUCAGGAAGUUUGGAACUAUAAGGGCUGGUGGUAUUCAAGUUAAAACCCAG
rnacentral:lncRNA from 1 species